GGCUUUUCCAAAUUUUCUCAGUCCACUUUCUCUCUCUAGAUCAGACCUCUUUAUCUCUCUACCUAUACAUACAUAUCCAUACAUUUAUACAUUUCGUCAAAUUCUCAAUUACGCUAUCCAUGAGACGCGUAGAACCGCCAUUUUCGUUCGCAAUUUGAACCUCGAUCUUCGAUUUUGAACCGUCGGAUCAAAGCUAGCCGGAGGUGCUGAGUAUCUACGGGGAGAUACAGUGAAAGAGCCUUCUCGGCUGGAUCUGAACGGAAAUGGCGUUA
rnacentral:misc_RNA from 1 species